rnacentral:tRNA from 1 species
GGGAGGAUAGCUCAGUGGUGGAGUGCAUGCUUAAGAUGCAUGAGGUCCUGGGUUCGAUCCCCUUCCA